AAGAGUGGGAAACGGUUAUCAAGAGCUCAAGACCAUUCCCUAGGAGCCAAGCUCGGGAACUACAAUGUCUUCAAGGAAUAUUCAUGAAGAUGAAUGUGCUUAAGCAUGUCUUAAGAUUUUCCAAUGGAUUGUAUGUAUUAAAGUGUGAAGACAUUUCUUGAGUGUCUUAAACACUACAAGGCAUCCCCAUUUAUACACUCCAAACCCACCCCCUUCAUUAAGGGUAAAGGUGUCAUUUCCCAUCUCUUUAGUAAUAGACUAUAAGUAGGAUCCCCUUAGUCUUAUUUUCUUAGUUAGAUUAUUUUGAAUGAAGAUUGUAAAAUUGAAACACUAUUUUCCUCUUAAGAAGAGAGUAUACCAC
rnacentral:lncRNA from 1 species